GCGGCAUGCUUACCAUGCAGUCGACGGCAGCGCGGACUUCGGUCUGGCGGCGAGUGGCGAACGGGUGAGUAAUGCAUCGGAACGUACCCAGUAGCGGGGGAUAACUACGCGAAAGCGUAGCUAAUACCGCAUACGCCCUACGGGGGAAAGGGGGGGAUCGCAAGACCUCUCACUAUUGGAGCGGCCGAUGUCGGAUUAGCUAGUUGGUGGGGUAAAGGCCUACCAAGGCGACGAUCCGUAGCUGGUUUGAGAGGACGACCAGCCACACUGGGACUGAGACACGGCCCAGACUCCUACGGGAGGCAGCAGUGGGGAAUUUUGGACAAUGGGGGCAACCCUGAUCCAGCCAUGCCGCGUGUGCGAAGAAGGCCUUCGGGUUGUAAAGCACUUUUGGCGGGAAAGAAACGGCGCCGGCUAAUACCUGGCGUAACUGACGGUACCCGCAGAAUAAGCACCGGCUAACUACGUGCCAGCAGCCGCGGUAAUACGUAGGGUGCAAGCGUUAAUCGGAAUUACUGGGCGUAAAGCGUGCGCAGGCGGUUCGGAAAGAAAGAUGUGAAAUCCCAGGGCUCAACCUUGGAACUGCAUUUUUAACUCCCGAACUAUAGUGUGUCAGAGGGAGGUGGAAUUCCACGUGUAGCAGUGAAAAUGCGUAAAUAUGUGGAGGAACACCGAUGGGCGAAAGGCAGCCCCCCUGGGAUAACACUGGACGCUCCUGGCACGAAAAACGUGGGGGAGCAAACACGGAUUAGAUAACCCCGGGAGUCCCACCCCCUAAACGAAUGGUCACCUACCUGGCGGGUUCUUCGGAGCUUGGUAGCGCGCGCCUAACCCGUGAAGUUGGACCGCCUGGGGGGGUACGGUGCGCAAGAUUAAAACUC
rnacentral:rRNA from 1 species